AAACCAAGAUGGGGGAAAUGCUCCAAAACAGCAUAUUUCUGUAUAAAUCUAAUAGUAUGUUUCUCAUAUAUUUUGUAAAUGUUAGCAAGAAAUAAACACUUCUAAAUCUAAAAAUGUUGUUUAUGUAACCAGAUAAUACAUCUGAAGAGAUUUACAAGACAUCUUAUGGAUCUGUACCAGAAAGACAGGA